rnacentral:rRNA from 1 species
GAUCAUGGCUCAGGACGAACGCUGGCGGCGCGCCUAACACAUGCAAGUCGAACGAGAGAUGAGGAGCUUGCUCUUCAAAUCGAGUGGCGAACGGGUGAGUAACGCGUGAGGAACCUGCCUCAAAUAGGGGGACAACAGUUGGAAACGACUGCUAAUACCGCAUAAGCCCACAGCUCGGCAUCGAGCAGAGGGAAAAGGAGCGAUCCGCUUUGAGAUGGCCUCGCGUCCGA